UGCGUAGGCUGUGUUGUAAGUCAGAGGUGAAAUCCCGGGGCUCAACCCCGGAACUGCCUCCGAUACUGCAAGACUUGAGGACUGGAGAGGAGAUUGGAAUUCAUGGUGGAGCAGUGAAAUGCGUAGAUAUCAUGAGGAACGCUAGUGGCGUAGGCGAAUCUCUGGACAGUUCCUGACGCUGAGGCACGAAGGCCAGGGGAGCAAACG
rnacentral:rRNA from 1 species